CCCCCUGUAGCUCAGUUGGCAGAGCAUGGUGUUUGCAACGCCAGGGUUGUGGGUUCGAUUCCCACGGGGGGC
rnacentral:tRNA from 1 species